UUCAUUGUUCACUUUUCCUAUGCAUAUACUUCUUUGAGAAUUUGAUCUGAAGAGGCAUAAGGCAUGGGAAAAGGGGGCAAUUGAGCA